AUUGAACGCUGGCGGCGUGCUUAACACAUGCAAGUCGAUCGGUAACAGGUGUAGCAAUACAUGCUGACGAGAGGCGGACGGGUGAGUAAUGCUUGGGAAUCUGCCUAUUAGUGGGGGACAACCCGGGGAAACUCGGGCUAAUACCGCAUACGCUCUACGGAGGAAAGCCGGGGACCGCAAGGCCUGGCGCUAAUAGAUGAGCCCAAGUCGGAUUAGCUAGUUGGUAGGGUAACGGCCUACCAAGGCGACAAUCCGUAGCUGGUCUGAGAGGACGACCAGCCACACCGGAACUGAGACACGGUCCGGACUCCUACGGGA
rnacentral:rRNA from 1 species